CGCUUAACACAUGCAAGUCGAACGCUUGGAGCAAUCCAAGCGUGGCGAACGGGUGAGUAACACGUGGACAAUCUGCCCUCGAGUGGGGGACAAGCCCGGGAAACUGGGUCUAAUACCGCAUUCGGCCCUUGGAACAUAUGUUUCGAGGAUCAAAGCCUUCGGGCGCUCGGGGAUGAGUCCGCGGCCUAUUAGCUUGUUGGUGAGGUAACGGCUCACCAAGGCAACGAUGGGUAGCUGGUCUGAGAGGACGACCAGCCACACUGGGACUGAGAUACGGCCCAGACUCCUACGGGAGGCAGCAGUGAGGAAUAUUCGGCAAUGGACGAAAGUCUGACCGAGCGACGCCGCGUGAGUGACGAAGCCCUUAGGGGUGUAAAACUC
rnacentral:rRNA from 1 species